GGAUUAGAUACCCUGGUAGUCCACGCCGUAAACGAUGUCAACUAGCCGUCGGAUUCAUAAUUUAAAGAAUUUGGUGGCGUAGCUAACGCAAUAAGUUGACCGCCUGGGGAGUACGGCCGCAAGGUUAAAACUCAAAGGAAUUGACGGGGGCCUGCACAAGCGGUGGAGCAUGUGGUUUAAUUCGAUGCAACGCGAAGAACCUUACCAGCUCUUGACAUCUUCGGAACUUUCUAGAGAUAGAUUGGUGCCUUCGGGAACCGAAUGACAGGUGCUGCAUGGCUGUCGUCAGCUCGUGCCG
rnacentral:rRNA from 1 species